AAGCAGCGGAGCAUGUGGUUUAAUUCGAAGCAACGCGAAGAACCUUACCAGAUCUUGACAUCCAAUUGACCAUCUUUUAAUCGAGAUUUUGCCUUCGGGUACAAUUGAGACAGGUGGUGCAUGGUUGUCGUCAGCUCGUGUCGUGAGAUGUUGGGUUAAGUCCCGCAACGAGCGCAACCCUUGUGUUUAGUUGCAAACAGGUCAAGCUGUGCACUCUAGACAGACUGCCGUGGACAACACGGAGGAAGGUGGGGAUGACGUCAAAUCAUCAUGCCCCUUAUGACCUGGGCUACAAACGUGAUACAAUGGCUGGAACAAAGGGAUGCGAAGCAGUGAUGUGGAGCGAAACCCAUAAAAACAGUCUCAGUUCGGAUUGAAGUCUGCAACUCGACUUCAUGAAGUCGGAAUCGCUAGUAAUCGCGGAUCAGAACGCCGCGGUGAAUACGUUCCCGGGUCUU
rnacentral:rRNA from 1 species